CGUCAACGUUCUCUUCGCGAUGUUCUUAAUGAUUCAACCUAAUCAAUAGUAUUGCGAGAAGCUGCUAAUUUUCUAGGAAGAUGUUAAAAUGAAAGAACACGAUCGGGUAUACGAUAAUUCUGAAAUUACCAGGCAUUCUCUAUCGAUCUUUCUUCCCGAUGUUUACAAGGCAAACUGGAAAGUAUGCUCGACCGAGAAUUAACAUCGCCGUAAACUGUUACCAUCGUAUAAAAUUCCAAGUUAUACUAAUACGAAUGCACGAACGUUAUGGACUCUUCAAACAUUACCAGCAAUGAUAUCGGGAAACCUUAUUAAUACGAUCAACACAACGUGAACUUUGCUUUCGUGUUCAAGAUAAAUCCACUUUACUCAUCUGACCUGCGAUUACAAUUUAGCGUGACGCAACGAUUCGAAAGGGACGAUCCGUGAAAACGGUCUACGGUGUUCAUCAAAAAAUGGGUCUACCUUUACGAUUAACCCGUGUUACUUCUGGUAGGGAAGAAAAAAUAGACACCUUGAUAGAUCGUCCUGAGAUUUAGA